rnacentral:lncRNA from 1 species
UAUAUUUGUAAGGGAUUUAUUAAGUUUUGAUUCCACUGCAUAAAUAUUAUCAUGUACUCGUCAUUCUGAAUUUGUAUUUGACACCCAUUUGCCUUAAUUUGCACCUGGGAUGUCACACAUGCCUUCACUUCAAAUAGCCAUAACUUGCUCAAUUCUUAUGCAUCUUCGGCCCAUUUUACCUUCACUUGCUCAUCAUAGUUUUAGCUACUUAUUAACCUAAUUUGCGCUCAAAACAACCCCAUUUGGCCCAUCUAAAGUGUAAAAGGCCAAACCACACUCAAAUUUAUGCCCAU